CGAUCCAGCAACGCCGCGUGGAGGAUGAAGGUCUUCGGAUUGUAAACUCCUGUUAGAGGGGACGAAGGAACGCCGGUGAAUAUCCGGCGGACUUGACGGUACCCUCAGAGGAAGCCCCGGCUAACUCUGUGCCAGCAGCCGCGGUAAUACAGAGGGGGCGAGCGUUAUUCGGAAUUAUUGGGCGUAAAGGGCGCGUAGGCGGCCUUGUAAGUCUUGGGUGAAAUCCCUCAGCUCAACUGAGGAACUGCCUCGGAUACUGCAGGGCUUGAGGCCGGGAGAGGGUAGUGGAAUUCCCAGUGUAGCGGUGAAAUGCGUAGAUAUUGGGAGGAACACCGGUGGCGAAGGCGGCUACCUGGACCGGUUCUGACGCUGAUGCGCGAAAGCGUGGGGAGCAAACAGGAUUAGAUACCCUGGUAGUCCACGCUGUAAACGAUGGGUGCUCGGUGUCGCGGGUAUCGACCCCUGCGGUGCCUUAGCUAACGCGUUAAGCACCCCGCCUGGGGAGUACGGUCGCAAGGCUG
rnacentral:rRNA from 1 species